UUUAAUACAGAUUUGAAAAUCAUAGAACCAAUAACACUAGAUUUAAUUCGGAUUUUCAAAUUCAUUAAAAUAAAGCAACCAAUAACCCCUACUAAGACCACUAGUUUCAAGGAUUUUUUAGAGAGGUUUUUAAUUAGUUCAUUCAUUGAUCUUUAUAUAUAUAUACACGCCAUUACCCAUUCUUUCUAUCAUCAACCAACAAACAAGCAAUAUAUCCAAGAUCUUGAAUCUUUUCAUAAAAUCUUUCAGAAGCUUCAAAAGCAUUCAAACUUUCAGACAAAAAAUAUAUAGAAUGGCUUUCGUAAGAAAUCUGUUGGGAGCAAACAAAAUUCUUGGACGCUACGUAACAGCAGCAGCCGAUACAAGCAAAAGGGCAACCUCGCUGCACCAAAGGGGUUUCUUGCUGUGUACUUAGGAGAGAGCCAGAAAAAGAGAUAUGUGGUGCCGAUCUCAUACUUGACGCCUUCGUUUCAAGCUCUUCUCAAUAAGUCCGAGGAAGAGUUUGGUUAUGAUCAUCCAAUGAGUGGCUUAACCAUCCCUUGUCCUGAAGAAUCCUUCAUUAGUGCGACGUCUCGGUUUCAAUGAUGAUGUUCCAAAAGAAGAAGAAAACGGUAGUUAGUUAGAGAUAUAAUCAUCCAAUGUAAAUUUGUUAACAUUUUACAAUGUGAAAGAGUUAUUCAAUGUGAAUAGUUUCACAAUUGUUUUAUCUCCCGAGUUAAAUGAAUGUGCAACUAAACAAAACACAAACAAUGAAAAGCUAACGAGUCUUCAAUUUUCUCUCUUUAGAUUCGUUAGAGCAUCAUUAUCCAGGGUAAUGAUGCUCUUAUAUCUAAAGGUAGUUUAAAUUGCUUAAGUUGCUUAAGAGCAUCCGCAACGGCCCAUUUAGACGAAUCCUUAGCGUUAUAUCCUAGGCGAAUCCGGAUAAAAUAAUAUUAUCAAAGCCCAGUUCGGUAAGGAGAGAUCCGUAGACAAGGAGUUUAAGGAUCGAGUCCUUAGUGACGUGGCCACGUCUCAUUGGGUAGGGGGAGAUAUGUAUAUCGGUGUGCAAAAAAAAAGGCUCAUUCGCGAGACGAAACGAAAAAAAAAGCUCUCGGCGACGGAAGAGGCAAUUUGAUCUCCUGGGAUAAUCGAGGUAAAUCGAAGCCAUUUCUUGUUGAUUUAUGGCAUUAGAUUAGCUUGCAUGUUGUCUUCCUCGCGUUUAGGGUUCGGUUUUGUCUUUUCAAUCGAUUUGGGGAUUCAUCGGUUUGUAGUUAGGGUUUCAAACGAUUGGGAUUCAAUCGAUUUGGGGAUAUUUGAGUUUGUAGUUACGGUUUGAAAAAGGUUUGGGUUUUCAAUCGAUUUGGGGAUGUUUGGUUUGUAGUUAGGGUUUGAAACAAUAUUGGUUUCAAUUGCUUUGGGGAUAUUUGAGUUUGUAGUUACGGUUUGAAAAAUGUUUGGGUUUCAAUCGAUUAGGUGAUCUUUCGGUUUGUAGUUAGGGUUUAAAAGGAUUUGGGUUUCAAUCUAUUUGGGGAUUAUUGGCCUCUUACGAUUGUUACUCUGGUUGUAUCUUCUUGUCUUAGAUUAAGUGCUUUCACUCAGUGACUUUGUGAUUCUUUACGAGAAAUAUUGAGCUUUAUAUGUGCUCUGACUCAGUUUAGGUUAUGGUUUCAGAUUUUUUUUUGUGUUCUAACUCUGUGAUUAGUGUUGUUUAACGGCAUGAUUGUUCUUUAGGGUUUGUGUUCUUAAGGAUUAGUGCAGUUGGUUUAGAAAUCAAAAUGGGACUGUUGUGUUCUUAACGGUUGUUAGCAUUAUUAAACGACUGUGGUCUUAGUUUAUGGGAGUCUAGGGAUUGGCUAUUCAAUAUGGGAGUCUAUGGGAUUUGUUAUUCAAAAUGGGAGUCUUAGUUUAAUCAAGAUUGUUUACUCUGGAGUUAGCUUCUCCUCUUACAUUAGUAUUAUAGACACUUUGACUCUGUGAUUCUUUUCGAGAAAAUGUUGACCUUUAUAUGUGAUCUGAGUCUGUUGAGCUUAGUAUUAUGGACUGUGUGACUGUGUGACUGUGUGACUCUGUGAAGUAUAAUAUUUAUCUUGUCAAUUUCUUUCAGGUUUAGGAAACAUGGGACAAGAUUAUAGCUACAGCCAGCUCUCUUCAUCAGAGGAGUAUGAUAUAGAUAUAACUUCCCUGCUUCAAGCAGAAGCUGAUAUCUACGCGGAUGAAGCUGAGAGUAGCCAGAAUAUUGCAGAGCCGUUUCAGUACCCUCCUCAACCUGAGGCUGAUGAUGGAAUCCCCAAGACAUGCUACUGUGGUGGUCAGCCUGUUGUGGCAACAUCUUACACAAGCAAAGAUCCCGGCAGAAGGUACUUCACGUGUGACAAUGCUGAUGAUGGAGACUGCCAUGUUUGGAAAUGGUGGGAUGUGGCGGUAAUGGAGGAGAUGAGUGACUUUCAGAGACAACUUAGGGAGGUUAAGGAUCAACGUAAUGAGUGUGAGCAGAAGCUAGUUAAGCUAGAGGAGACAGUGUGGGAGUUAGCUAAGAAGAAAUCAGGGGUUAGAGAUGGCUUUCCAAUGGUUGUUUGUGUGAUAGUCAGUGUAUUCGUCUUAAUAUGUAUGGUGGUCAUGUUCAAGCGGGUUGAAGAGAAGGUCUGACCUUUAGAAGGUAAUGUACAAACAACUUCCGACUCUCUUAUCUUGUACAAAUAACUAUAAAGAACCUAUAGUAGUUUUAAAAAACAUAAUGUCAGUCUGAAAUUCGAAAUGUAUAACUAUAAUGAACCUAUAGUAGUUUUAAAAAACAUAAGUUCACUCAUUUAGUGUAAAACUUUAAAACUGGUGAGAUUUGAUUGGUGUUAAAUGCAACUAAAUUGGUUUCUACCUUCCUAACUCCUCUGAGUUGAUAGGUGUUUAAUGUUACGUAGUUUUAUUAGUUUUAAAUCGGUUCCCGAAGCCUCUUUGUUGCUAGUAGAGUGACAGAGAGCAUUCGUUUGGAGUUAAAUGCUAGUGCAUUGCUUUAUACCUUCCUAACGCCUCUGAGUUGAUAGGUUUUUAAUGUCACUUAGUUAACAUUCGCUUACUUAAGGCUCUAUGUUGCUAGUAGAGUGACAAAGAGCAUUCUCCCACCAUGGAUAGCACCCCUGGUUUUGUUAACCUGCUCAAUAGCCAAUGUUCUUUUGAUCUUGAUUCACCCGAACCUGCUUGGUUCAGUAGCCAAUGACCAGAUGAGUCUACCGUGAAGGAGAGGAGGAAAUGGUCUCCAAAAGAAGAUAAAAUCCUUAUUGGUGCUUGGCUUAACACCAGUAAGGACCAUGUGGUCAGCAACGAGUAGAAAGCUGGUGCUUUCUGGAAGAGGAUUCAAGACUACUACAACUCAAGCCCUCACCUGGUUGGAACAACACCUAGAGAGCUUGUUCAGUGCAAGCAGAGGUGGUCUAGGAUUAACGAUCAAGUCUGCAAGUUUGUUGGUUGCUUUGAAGCGGCUCUGAGAGAGCAGAGAAGUGGUCAAAAUGAUGAUGAUGUGAUGAAAGCUGUCCUGGAUAUCUUCUACAACGACAAUGGAAUCAAGUUUAGCCUAGAACAUGCGUGGAGAGAGCUGAGGCAUGACAAGAAAUGGUGCUCCACCUUUCAGGCUAAGGACACUGUCAAGUUAAAGCGCAAACAAGUGUUGGAGGUUGAUGGACAAGAGGAAGUGGGAGAACCAGAGGGUCGACCUGUUGGAGUGAAGGCUCCUAAAGCAGCUAGUAAGAGGAAGAAGAGUGGUAAAGAAGAGGAGUUGUCACAGAUACAUGCCAUGUUGGAAAUCAAAGAAAAACUUUCUAAGCAGAAAAUGCUUGAAUGUUUACUUGGCAAAAAGGAGCCACUCUCUGAGAUGGAAACAUCUCUUAAACUCAAACUGAUGUCUGAGAUGUUAUGAUGUGUUAUAUCUUCGGUUUAAGGUAUCAAUGUUAUAUGUUGCUUUCAGUAGUGAUUAUCAGUGUUGUUUUGAGUAUGAACAUUCCUUUGAGUAGUGAUUAUAAAUGUUGCUUUGAGUAGUGAUUAUGAAUGCUGCUUUGCGUAUCAAUGUUGCUUGGAGUAGUGAUUUUGAGUAGUGAUUAUGAAUGUUGCUUUGCGUAUCAGUGUUGCUUUAAAAAUUUACUAACUCUUGUCUUAUUUGUUCUGUCAGGUGCAGUACAAGGAAUCUCUCUUGUUCAUUCACGGGUGCAUUUGGAGCUGUGAAAGUGUUUUGUUCUGUAGCACAUGUGAACCAACUCACGGGUCUGCUUGUUUCACUUUCACUUGUAUAAGUUUGUCUCCAGCAGGUCUUUAGCUAGCUAUCCCCUUAUCUUUCUUUCCUCUUCAUCUGUUUUCUAGACUUGUAAGGUUGUAAUCUGUAAGCUACUUCGGUGUACUACUUGUAUCUGUCUCCAAAAAUCAUGUAACGGUACUUCAGUGUUGCUUCUAUAACCGUAAACGCUUGCAACUACUUCUCUGGAUAUUGGAGGGAUUAGCAAAAAUGUCAUCAUCUUCAUCCGAUGAACUCGAAGAAAGAUUGAACGAAGCUUUCGACGAUGUCUUCGAAGAUAUAUACAACAACAUAGUGGAGGCCCAAACCAAAAAGCAAAGGAAACAUGCAUAUAUAGAACGAAACCGUGAAGAAGGACACACCCGUUUAUGGAAUGACUACUUCAGCGAAGAUCCGACAUUUCUGGCACAUUUAUUCAGACGCCGUUUCCGCAUGAACAAGGAAUUAUUCAUGCGUAUAGUCCAUCGCCUCUCAGAGAACGUUCAAUUCUUUCAACAUAGAAGAGAUGCAACCGGGAGGUAUGGUCUAUCUCCACUGCAAAAAUGUACGGCUGCAAUUCGUCUGCUUUCUUAUGGUUAUGCGGCUAACACGGUUGACGAGUAUCUCUGACUUAGUGAAAGCACGGCAAUUUCGUGUUUACAAAAUUUCACUGAAGGAAUAAUACAGUUAUUUGGAGAUGAGUAUCUACGAAGACCCACACCAGAGGAUCUUCAACGACUACUCGAUAUUGGAGAGAAACGCGGGUUUCCUGGGAUGGUAGGAAGCAUUGACUGUAUGCAUUGGGAGUGGAAAAAUUGCCCAACCGCUUGGAAAGGACAGUACACACGUGGAUCAGGAAAACCGACAAUUGUCUUAGAGGCUGUAGCUUCACACGAUCUUUGGAUAUGACACGCUUUUUUUUGGUCCUCCAGGUACCUUAAACGAUAUUAUUGUCCUCGAUCGGUCUCCUGUUUUUGAUGACAUUUUACAAGGUCGAGGUCCCAGGUUAGAGUAUGUGGUCAACGGACACAUGUAUAAUUUGGCGUACUACCUCACAGACGGUAUAUAUCCAAAAUGGUCAACAUUUAUCCAAUCUACCUCACUCCCUCAAGGUCCUAAAGCAGAGUUAUUUGCUAAAGUUCAAGAAGCAACCCGAAAAGAUGUGGAGCGCACUAUUGGAGUAUUGCAAGCUCGAUUUGCGAAUGUGAAAACUCCGGCUCUUUCAUGGGACAAGGAAAAGAUAGGGCAUAUUAUGAGAGCAUGUAUCAUACUACACAAUAUGAUAGUCGAAAAUGAACGAGAUGGAUACACUCAGUACGAUAUAUCUGAAUUUGAAGAAGGAGGGGCAUCCAGAAGUUCACGGGUGGAUAUGUCCUAUAGUACCGACAUGCAUACAAAUCUCGGUAAUAUGCUUGGCAUUCGGAAUCAUCUUCACGAUAGGCGUAUACAUGAACAAUUGAAAAAUGAUUUAAUUGAAAAUAAUUGGAACAAAUUUGGUGAUGAAGAUUAGUUAUUGUAUCUUUAUUUUUAAUCAUGCAAUAAAUAAAAAUUUAAAUUUCACA